AACGGAGGGGCAAGUGUUCUUCGGAAUGACUGGGCGUAAAGGGCACGUAGGCGGUGAAUCGGGUUGAAAGUGAAAGUCGCCAAAAACUGGCGGAAUGCUCUCGAAACCAAUUCACUUGGGUGAGACAGAGGAGAGUGGAAUUUCGUGUGUAGGGGUGAAAUCCGCAAAUCUACGAAGGAAGGCCAAAAGCGAAGGCAGCUCUCUGGGUCCCUACCGACGCUGGGGUGCGAAA
rnacentral:rRNA from 1 species